UUGACAAACUGAGAGCUCUUUCUUGAUUCUAUGGGUGGUGGUGCAUGGCCGUUCUUGGUUGGUGGAGCGAUUUGUCUGGUUAAUUCCGUUAACGAACGAGACCUCAGCCUGCUAACUAGCUAUGCGGAGGUAUCCCUUCGCGGCCGGGAACCACUAGGAGUGGAGCCUGCGGCUUAAUUUGACUCAACACGGGGAAACUUACCAGGUCCAGACAUAGUAAGGAUUGAGAGAAUGAAAACUCUUUCUUGAUUCUAUGGGUGGUGGUGCAUGGCCUUUCUUAGUUGGUGGAGCGAUUUGUCUUGUUAAUUCCGUUAAUGAAUGAGAACUCAGCCUGCUAACUAGCUAUGCGGAGGUAUCCCUUCGCGGCCAGCUUCUUAGAGGGACUACGGCCUUUUAGGCCGCGGAAGUUUGAGGCAAUAACAGGUCUUUGAUGCCAUUAGAUGUUCUGGGCCGCACGCUCGCUACACUGAUGGAUUAAACGAGUUUAUAGCCUUGGCAGGCAGGCCCGGGUAAUCUUUGAAUUUUCAUCGUGAUUGGGAUAGAUCAUUGCAAUUGUUGUUCUUUAACGAGGAAUUCCUAGUAAGCGCGAGUCAUCAGCUCGCGUUAACUACGUCAUUGCCCUUUGUACACACCGCCCGUCGCUCCUAUUGAUUGAAUGAUCCGGUGAAAUGUUCAGAUCGCGGCGACGUGGGCGGUUCGCUGCCCGCGAUUUCGCAAGAAGUCCGUUGAACCUUAUCAUUUAGAGGAAGAAAAAGUCGUAAGAAGGUUUCCGUAGGUGAACCUGCCGAAGGAUCAUUGCCUAAAUCUGCAAGGCAGAACGACCCGCGAACUUGUUUAAAAAUUGGGGAGCGGUACGGUUGAGAUGCUUCGGCCUCCAUCUGUGCGGCUUCCUCCUACAUCCUCGACGCGCGUGCUCGUGUGCGUGCCAGGUGAUUAACAAACCCUGGCGCGGAAAGUGCCAAGGAAUACUAACUUGUGCUUCUUUUGAAACAAAAACGAUUCUCGGCAACGAAUUUCUCGGCUCUUGCAUCGAUGAAGAAUGUAGAGAAAUGCGAUACUUGGUGUGAAUUUUAGAAUCCCGUGAACCAUCGAGUUUUUGAACGCAUGUUGCGCCCGAAGCCAUUAGGCCAAGGGCAUGUCUGCCUGGGCGUCAUGCAACGCGUCGCCCCUGCACAUCGCGGCCAUUCUCAAGGUCGCGGUGCUGACGUGGGACGGAUACUGGCCUCCCGUGCAUCUCGAGCGUGCGGUUGGCCUAAAUGCAAGUCCACAGUGACAGACGUCAUGACAAGUGGUCGUUGAAACUCAACUCUCGUAAUGUCGGAGCUCCAACCCGUCGCAUGUUUGGGAUCCCGACCCUUAUCGCGCUUAGACGCUCCGACCGCGACCCCUUGUCAGGCGGGACUACCCGCUGAGUUUAAGCAUAUCAAUAAGCAGAGGAAAAAAAACUUACAAGGAUUCCCCUAGUAACGGCGAGCGAACUGGGAAGAACCCAACAUUAGAAUCGAGCAGCUCCGUCGUCCGAUUUGUAGUCUGGAGAAGCGUCCUCAGCGGUGCACCGGGCCCAAGUCCCCUGGAAGGGGGUGCCAGAGAGGGUGAGAGCCCCGUUGUUCCUGGACCCUGUCGCACCACGAGGCGCUGUGUACGAGUCAGGUUGUUUGGGAAUGCAGUCCAAAUCGGUCGGUGAAUUCCGUGGCAAGGCUAAAUACGGGCGAGAGACCGAUUGCGAACAAGUACCGCGUGGGAAAGAAGAAAAGGACUUUGAAAAGAGAGUCAAAGAGUGCUUGAAAAUGUCAGGAGGGAAGCAGAUGGGAGCUGGUGAUGCGCCCCGGUUGGAUGUGGGACGGUGUUGAGCUAGUCCGUCGAUCACUUCAGGGCGUGGACCCGCGUGGAUUGGGGGGGGGGAAGCCCAGGAUUUUGAUAUGCUUGUGGAACAUCGUCUCCUCGAUUGUGGUAGGCAGCGCGCCUCUGGAGUCUGACAUGUGUGCAUGUCAAUGGUCGAAUAAACCCGUAAGGCGUAUGGAAGCUGAUUGGUGCGAUCCCCCUGAGGGGUGCACCGCCGAACGACCUUGAUCUUCUGUGAAGGGUUCGAGUGUGAGCAUACCUGUCGGGACCCGAAAGAUGGUGAACUAUGCCUGAGCGGGGCGAAGCCAGAGGAACCUCUGGUGGAGGCCCGCAGUGAUACUGACGUGCAAAUCGUUCGUCCGACUUGGGUAUAGGGGCGAAAGACUAAUCGAACCGUCUAGUAGCUGGUUCUCUCAAAAGUUUCCCUCAGGAUAGCUGGAGCUCGCGUGCGAGUUCUAUCGGGUAAAGCCAAUGAUUUGAGGCAUCGGGGCGCAACGCCCUAAACCUAUUCUCAAACUUUAUAUAGGUAGGAUGGCGCGACUACUUUGUUCAGUCGUGCCACGGAAUAAAGAGCUCAAAGUGGGCUAUUUUUGGUAAGCAGAACUGGCGAUGCGGGAUGAACUGGAAGCCGAGUUACGGUGCCAAACUGCACGCUAACCUAGAUCCCACAAAGGGUGUUGGUCGAUUAAGACAGUAGGAUGGUGGUCAUGGAAGUCAAAAUACGCUAAGGAGUGUGUAACAACUCAUCUGCCGAAUCAAAUAGCCCCAAAAAUAGAUGGCGCAUAAGCGCGCGAUCUACACCUAGCCGUCAGGGCAAGUGCAAGGCCUCGAUGAGUAAGAGGGCGCGACGAUCGCCGCAAAAUGUUGGGCGUGAGCCUGGGUGGAGCGACCGUCGUUGCAGAUCUUAUUGGUAGUAGAAAAUAUUCAAAUGAGAACUUCAAAGGCCGAAUAAGGGAAAGUUUCCAUGUGAACGGCAUUUGCACAUGAGUUAGUCAAUCCUAAGGGUCAGGGGAACCCCGACAAAUAGCACGUUUCACGCGUACUCUAUUAGGGAAUCGGGUUAAAAUUCCUGAACCAAGACGUGGCGGUUGACGACAACGUUAGGAAGUCCGUAGACGUCGGCGGGGGCCUCGGGAAGAGUUAUUUUUUUUGUUUCACAGCCUGCCCACCCUAGAAAUGACUCAGUCAGAGGUAGGGUUCAGCGGCUGGAACAGCACCGAACGUCAUGUGGUGUCCGGUGCCCCCCGGCAGCCCUUGAAAAUCUGGAGAACCGAGUGUCAUCCACGCCCGAUCGUACUCAUAACCGCAUCAGGUCUCCAAGGUGAACAACCUCUGGUCGAUGGACCACUGUAGGCAAGGGAAGUCGGGAAAAUGGAUCCGUAACAUCAGGAAAAGGAUUGGCUCUGAGGGCUGGGCACGGGGGUCCCAGUCCCAAACCCGUCGGCUGUUGGUGGACUACUCGAGCUGCUCCCGCGGUAAAGGUGGGUCGCCGCGUGCCUGCCGGGGGACAGACUUGGAACGGUUCCUUCGGUGGCCUUCCCCGGGAGUCCAACGACCAACUCAGAACUGGUACGGACAAGGGGAAUCCGAGUGUUUAAUUAAAACAAAGCAUUGUGAUGGUUCCUGCAGAUGUUUACACAAUGUGAUUUCUGCCCAGUGCUCUGAGUGCCAAAGUGAAGAAAUUCAAGCAAGCGGGGGUAAACGACGGGAGUAACUAUGACUCUCUUAAGGUAGCCAAAUGCCUCGUCAUCUAAUUAGUGACACGCAUGAACUGUCCCUGUCUACUAUCCAGCGAAACCACAGCCAAGGGAACGGGCUUGGCAGAAUCAGCAGNNNNNNNNNNNNNNNNNNNNNNNNNNNNNNNNNNNNNNNNNNNNNNNNNNNNNNNNNNNNNNNNNNNNNNNNNNNNNNNNNNNNNNNNNNNNNNNNNNNNNNNNNNNNNGUAGACCGCAAGGGAACGGGCUUGGCAGAAUCAGCAGGGAAAGAAGACACUUUUGAGCUUUACUCUAGUUCGACUUUGCGAAAUGACUUGAGAGGUGCAGUAUGAGUGGGAGCCGAAAGGCGAAUGUUAAAUACCACUACUUUUAACGUUAUUUUACUUAUUUUGAUAAUCAGAAGCGGGGCACUGCCCCUCUUUUUGGACCCAAGGCUUGCUUACAGGCCGAUUCGGGCGGAAGACAUUGUCAGGUGGGGAGUUUGGCUAGGGUGACACAUCUGUUAAAAGAUAACGCAGGUGUCCUAAGAUGAGCUCAACGAGAACAGAAAUCUCGUGUGGAACAGAAGGGUAAAAGCUCGUAUGAUUCUGAUUUCCAGUACGAAUACGAUCCGUGAAAGCGUGGCCUAACGAUCCUUUAGUUCUUCGGAAUUCGAAGCUAGAGGUGUCAGAAAAGUUACCACAGGGAUAACUGGCUUAUGGCAACCAAGCGUUCAUAGCGAUGUUGCCUUUUGAUCCUUCGAUGUCGGCUCUUCCUAUCACCGUGAAGCAGAAUUCACCAAGUGUUGGAUUGUUCACCCACCAAUAGGGAACGUGAGCUGGGUUUAGACCGUCAUGAGACAUGUUAGUUUUACCCUAUUGAUGACAGUAUCGCAAUAGUAAUUCAACCUACUACGAGAGGAACCGUUGAUUCUCACAAUUGGUCAUCGUGCUUGGUUGAAAAGCCAGUGGCGUGAAGCUACCGUGCGUUGGAUUAUUACUGAACGCUUCUAAGUCAGAACCUGGGCUUGAAGCAACUCAUGCGCCCGCCUUCCGCUUGCCGACCCGUAGUCGGGGACUUUGGCCCCCAAGGGCUCGUGACGUUUGCUAAGUCAUCGCGGUGGAAGAGACGCGGUGGCCGCCUUGAAGUACAAUUUCCAUCGAGCGGCGGGUAGAAUCCUUUACAGAUGACUUAAGUACGCGAGGGGGUAUUGUAAGUGGCAGAGUAGCCUUGCUGCCACGAUCCAAUGACAUUCAAACCUUUGUCGCUUUGAUUCGUCCCUACCCCUCAAAUCCAAUCUUUUUCUAACUUUUUCGAUAAAAGGUUCACUCCUACCUUGAUGCUAUAUUAUACUAAGUGUUUGAAAAAUCGAACAAGUCCUCAAGACCUUGGAACAUAUACUAUUUGUGCAAUAAUUGGACAAUGUGACGUGACACUUAGUCACAUCGAGGGAAAUACCAAACCAAAUAACACAACUAGAGGCGUUUCGGGGUGUCUCUUGAGAGGUCGAGGCCUAUGCCAAGUAUUUUCGAGGUGUCGCUUGAGAGGCCAAGGCCUAUGCCCCAAGCAUAAGGCGUGGACGUGGAAUGAGUUAGGACGUCCCAGGACAUGGCGGGGCGUGGCCAUGGCACGGGCUAGGACGUGUCAGUAUGUCGCGGGACAUGGAAGGACACGAGUCGAGACGUGUCAGGACGCAUCAGGACAUGGCCAUGGAACGUGUCAGGACGCGUCAGGACAUGGCAGGGCCUAGCCAUGGCACGAGUUAGGACAUCGCAGGACAUGGCAGGGCGUGGCCGUGGCACGAGUCAGGACGUCGCAGGACGCGUCAGGACAUGGCGAUGGCACGUGUCUGGAUGCGUCAAGACAUAGCAGUGGCACGUAUUAGGACGCGCUAGGACACGACAGGUCAUGGCAUGACUCAAGACGUCGCAGGACAUGGCACGAGUCAGUACGUUGCAGGACGCGUCAAGAUAUAGCCAUGGUAUGUGUCAGGACGCAUCAGGACAUGGCCAUGGCACGUGUCAGGACACGUCAGGACAUGGGCCAUGGCACAAGUCGGGACGUCGCAGGACAUGGCAGGGCGUGGCCAUGGCACGAGUCGGUAUGUCUAAGGACGCGUCAGGACAUGGCCAUGGUACGUGUCAGGACGCGUCAGGACAUGGCAGUGGCACGUGUUAGGAUGCGCUAAGACAUGCCGGGAGUGGCCAUGGAAUGACUCAUGAUGUCGCAUGACAUGGCAGGGCGUGGCCAUGGCAUGAGUCAGGACAUCGCAGUACGUGUCAGGACAUGGCCAUGAUACGUUUCAGGAAGCAUCAGGACAUGGCCAUGGCACGUGUCAGGACGCGUUAGGACAUGGCAGGGCGUGGCCAUGGNNNNNNNNNNNNNNNNNNNNNNNNNNNNNNNNNNNNNNNNNNNNNNNNNNNNNNNNNNNNNNNNNNNNNNNNNNNNNNNNNNNNNNNGGGGACGUCGCAGGACAUGGCACGGCGUGGCCAUGGCACGAGUCAGGACGUCGCUGGACGCGUCAGGCCAUGGUCAUGGCACGUGUCUGGACAUGGUAGGGCGUGGCCAUGGCAGGAGUCAGGACGCACAGGAUAUGGCAGGAUAUGGCCAUGGUUCUUGUCAGGACGUGUUAAGACAUGGCUAUGGCACGACGUCGCACCAAGCCGCACCACGUCGCUCCAAGCCGCACCACGUAGCUCCAAGCCGCACCACGUCGCACCACGUCUAUUUCUAGCCAAUGCUUAGAAAUAUGUCAAGCGCAAUGAUGUUGGUGAUCGUUGGAGGCGGUGGUGGAAAUUCGGGGUGGUUCGAGCAAUAGCGUCCGGCGACGGUCGAUCAACGCUUGGUGGUUGGCGGCGGUUGCUUCAAAUCCUAAUCACUUUUUGUGGUCGGGCAACAUGUCAAGCGCAAUGAUGUUGGUGGUCGUUGGUGGCAGUGGUGCAAAGUCGCGGUGGUUCGAGCGGUUCCACCGGCGACAGUUGGUUGACACUUUGUGGUUGGCGGUGGUUUUUUCAAAUCGGAAUCCCUUGUUGAUUGUUGCAACAAUGGAGGUGCCUCGUGCUUAUUGGCGGUUGGUCAUUUAUAUGAUUUUAUUAUAAUAUUAUGUAUUUUUCCUAUUUUUUAAUAUAUGUUUUAGUAAUUUUUAUGCUUUUUUUGUUAUAUUAAAUUAUUUUUAUGUCACAUUUUAAUAAAAAUAUUUACUAUUUUAUAUGUUAUUCUAUUACAAGAUGUAUUGGAAUUUUUCUCCAUCAAUGUUUCUAUUUUUAUAAUAAUUUUCAUAUUUUUUAGUAUUUUAUUAAGUAUUUUUCGUUUUUACAUUGGUUUGUGCUAUUUAUGUUGUACAUGUCAAUUAUGUUUCUCUAGCCAAAACAUGUCUACUCCUGAAACUUGGGUUUUUAUUAAGCAUAUAUAAGAUGGGUAGAGGUGUUAAGAGGUACCUCACGUGCUUGCUGCCAGGAAGGGGCGGGAAUGCAUAGGGGACGCUAGCAUGGGGCGUGGGCAUUUGGAGCAUGCACGACUUGUCUGUGUCACGUACUCGAUUUUCCCAAACCGCGCCAGCAAGUACUUGUGUAGGCUUUUAGUACGCCUUGUGGUGGCACCGCUCGUGGCAAACAUUGGCUUUUGGCAAAGAACGGUGGAGCGUCAUGCAACUAGAGCCGCAAGAUGCCGUGCGCAUGGGACGUAGCUCAGUACUUAUUGAUCGCCAUUGGAUGUUGCGGGCAAAAUCGAGAGGCGACAUCUCUCGUGGUGGCUGAUGGCUUUUGACAACAGAACGGCAAAGCAUCGUGCAAGUAGCGCCGCAAGGUGCUGUGCGCAUGGGGCGAAGCUUAGUAAGUUGUUGAUUGCCAUUAGUUGUUGUGAGUUGUGUUUGGAAUCUCUCGUGGGGCUGAUGGCUUUCGACAACGAACGACGGAGCAUCGUGCAAGUAGCACCGCAAGGUGCCGUGCGCAUGGGGCGAAGCUCA
rnacentral:lncRNA from 1 species